rnacentral:rRNA from 1 species
AUUAGUGGCGAACGGGUGAGUAACACGUGGGCAAUCUGCCCUGCACUCUGGGACAAGCCCUGGAAACGGGGUCUAAUACCGGAUAUGACCGUCUGCCGCAUGGUGGAUGGUGUAAAGCUCCGGCGGUGCAUGAUGAGCCCGCGGCCUAUCAGCUUGUUGGUGAGGUAGUGGCUCACCAAGGCGACGACGGGUAGCCGGCCUGAGAGGGCGACCGGCCACACUGGGACUGAGACACGGCCCAGACUCCUACGGGAGGCAGCAGUGGGGAAUAUUGCACAAUGGGCGAAAGCCUGAUGCAGCGACGCCGCGUGAGGGAUGACGGCCUUCGGGUUGUAAACCUCUUUCAGCAGGGAAGAAGCGAAAGUGACGGUACCUGCAGAAGAAGCGCCGGCUAACUACGUGCCAGCAGCCGCGGUAAUACGUAGGGCGCAAGCGUUGUCCGGAAUUAUUGGGCGUAAAGAGCUCGUAGGCGGCUUGUCACGUCAGUUGUGAAAGCCCGGGGCUUAACCCCGGGUCUGCAGUCGAUACGGGCAGGCUAGAGUUCGGUAGGGGAGAUCGGAAUUCCUGGUGUAGCGGUGAAAUGCGCAGAUAUCAGGAGGAACACCGGUGGCGAAGGCGGAUCUCUGGGCCGAUACUGACGCUGAGGAGCGAAAGCGUG